UACGAAGGGGGCUAGCGUUGCUCGGAAUGACUGGGCGUAAAGGGCGCGUAGGCGGAUGGCACAGUCAGAUGUGAAAUUCCCGGGCUUAACCUGGGGGCUGCAUUUGAUACGUGUUGUCUAGAGUGAGGAAGAGGGUCGUGGAAUUCCCAGUGUAGAGGUGAAAUUCGUAGAUAUUGGGAAGAACACCAGUGGCGAAGGCGACUUACUGGACACGUAUUGACGCUGAGGUGCGAAAGCGUGGGGAGCAAACAGG
rnacentral:rRNA from 1 species